GUGAAGCCUGAAGGGACAUAACUCUUAAAUCUAUCACGCGUGAGAUCACCAUGGAUUGUGUGCAAGCAAUACAUAAUUUUAAACAAAUAAUGGCGAACUUGACAGAUAAAGAAGCAUCUGCAUUUAUUUGUUGGCUAAAAGAAAAUGUUACUUCUGGGUCAGAAGACCAUCUUGAUAUGACAACAGAGAAUGAAGAAAAUGCUGACAAAAUAAUAAAGAAUAUUCAAGAUGAAUUACGACAUUGCCUUCCUGUCGAUGCAAUUUCUGAUACAGAACGUAUUGUCUUCCCAACAUCUGGACCGAAUGCUGAUUGUGACUCCUCCACUACUGUACAUGUUGAUGCUUUCUUGUUUGAGGAGGACAUCAUUGACCAACUGGUUGAUGAAGGCCGACUGAGUCGAAAUUACUGCACAAAGUGUGGAUCCCGGGAGGUGAAACCACUCACAUUUAUCACUCACUCUGCUUCUGCAUCACAAGUGAAGUACAUCUUUAAACACUUGCUUCCCAACUUAACUGGGAAGAUGCUUGUAGACAUUGGUUCCAGAACGGGAGCAAUGCUUUAUGGGGCACAUUUAUACAGCUGUUGCAAAUAUGUUGUGGGAGUUGAAAUUGAUGAGCCAUUCUGUAAUCUCCAAAGUCAGAUUGUAGCAAAGUACAACAUGCAAGAUCGUAUUCAGAUCAUCCAUGGUAACAUCAUGAAUCAACAAGAGAUUUUAAAGUGCAGCCAGGGUUUGGCACUUCCUUUAUGAUACUGUCAAAGAAAAGGGAACACUGCUUGUGACUAAUCCUAGUCUAAGCGAGGCAUUACAUCACCUGAAGAUAUCUAUAGAUCUUGCUAGCUGGGUUGAAGAACAGGAUGCAACUUUGGCAUUGUCAGAAGCAAGCAAACAUUUACCAGACAUCGAUGAUGAAGAACUGACAUGUUUUCAUUUGUACAAGGUUUUGUAAUAAAGUAUUUAUCUAGA
rnacentral:misc_RNA from 1 species